GUGAGUGCAGCCACCUAGUUUCAUAUAUAUAUAUAUAUAUAUAUAUAUAUAUAUAUAUAUAUAUAUAUAUAUAUAUAUAUGAAACUAGGUGGCUGCACUCAC